AUUGUCAAAGCAAACCAAACAACCGGUUGGAAUUAAUUCUUAUUUGGAUUUGUUUUUCUCCUAUUUGAAUAAUUCGGUAUUGUUUUAAUUUUCACCUUCUGCUCUUAAUAUUUCUCUGACACUCUUACCUUUGGACAUAACUUCUUUAUUCCGACAAUCCUUGUGACAGUACUUUACAGUUAAAUAUCUACUACUUUCGCCCAAAAAAAUGAACAUGGUAAAUAGGUUCGUGCAAGCAGAUUCUAGUAACCUACCAGAAGUAAACACCUUGAUGAUUCUUGAAUAUGUUAUAAGCAGCAACAGGCACAGUAUUGAUGAAAUAAGAGGUGUGAAACAAUUGGCGGCAUCGGACGAAAAUUAUGUUAUAGAUGCUGUAGGAUUUGUGCAGCUAAAAAACAAUGGCACUGAAUGCCUUGUUAAGGCCAAAGUUGCUUCGGAAGAGGAGGGCGAAAUCAAAUAUUACACUGUGUCUGUUCAUGUAAAUGAGAAUGCCAUUACUGACAGUGCAUGUAAUUGCCAUCCUGAAUUAGCAGGAGGGUGCAAACACACUUUGUUGUUCUUGUGUUGGCUGGAAGUGAAAUCGUCAAUACCUGAAAGCGCUCCGGUGCAAUGUUUUUGGCAUAAACCCCUAUUGGGAACUAAUUGUUCAAUGCUUGCCAAGGACAUAUUUAAUUUCUAAAGAGCGCUCAACAUCUAUUGCAGAAUGAAGAUGUAAACACACUUUUUUGUUCCUGUGUUGGUUGAAAAAUAAAUCAUCCAUACCUGAAAGAGCUCCAGUGCAAUCUUUUUGGCAUAAGCCUCUCUUGGGAACUAAUGAUUCACUGCUUGCGAAGGACAUUUUUAAACUCAAAUCAAAAAGGAGUGCUGUAGAACCGCAACCAAGAAACCCUGAUGUGCUGAAUAACUUUAUUGAAGAAUGUAAGAAAAGAAAUACUACAAACUCUCUUAUUUUGAUAUAUUCGCCUCGACAGUAAAUGCUGUUGGUAAGUGCUUGUUGCUUAGUGCACAAUUUUUUACAAUUAAGUUUUUUAUCACCUAAAGGAUGAGAAGACAUCCAGUUUUUGUUUCAUAAUUUAAGUGAAUUGAUCAUUCCACUUAACAAUGGAAGACACUGUCAAUGUUUUAUAUUAACAUGUAUAAUACAUAUUAGACUAUUACAUCUUCCCAUAAUGUGGUACUUCUAAACCGAAUAUGUUGCACUAGUUUAAUAUUAAAGCUCUGUUGUAUAAGUUUAAACACAGUAAAGUUAUACUUUGCUGUUAUUUUUAUGCAACAUUAAAUUUAACAACUUGUAGUAAAUUUCUAUAUAAGUAAGUUUCUUUGUUA